rnacentral:rRNA from 1 species
GACGAACGCUGGCGGCGUGCUUAACACAUGCAAGUCGAACGGAAAGGCCCUGCUUUGGUGGGGUGCGCGAGUGGCGAACGGGUGAGUAACACGUGAGUAACCUGCCCUUGACUUUGGGAUAACUUCAGGAAACUGGGGCUAAUACCGGAUAGGAGCUCCUGCUGCAUGGUGGGGGUUGGAAAGUUUCGGCGGUUGGGGAUGGACUCGCGUCUUAUCAGCUUGUUGGUGUGGUAGUGGAUUACCAAGGCUUUGACGGGUAGCCGGCCUGAGAGGGUGACCGGCCACAUUGGGACUGAGAUGAGGCACAGCCUCGUACGGGACGCAGGGGUGGGGAAGAGUAUACUAGGGGCUGAACGCUGAUGCAGCAAAGCAGCGUGCGGGAUGUGGGCCUUGGGGUUGUAUUCUGAUUUCCUCUGUCACGAAGCGUGAGUGACGGUAAUGGGUAAAGAAGCACCGGCUAACUACGUG